rnacentral:rRNA from 1 species
CUGGUUGAUCCUGCCAGUAGUUAUAUGCUUGUCUCAAAGAUUAAGCCAUGCAUGUCUAAGUAUAAACAGAUUGUACAGUGAAACUGCGAAUGGCUCAUUAAAUCAGUCAUAAUUUACUUGAUAGUCUACUACAUGGAUACCUGUGGUAAUUCUAGAGCUAAUACAUGCACUAUGACCCGACUCUCAGUGGAAGGGUAGUAUUUAUUAGAUAAAAAACCAACCUGGGAAACCAGUUCUAUGGUGAUUCAUAAUAACUGAACGAAUCGCAUGGUCUCUGAGCCGGCGAUAUUUCAUUCAAAUCUCUGCCCUAUCAACUUUCGAUGGUAGGAUAGGGGCCUACCAUGGUGUUUACGGGUAACGGGGAAUUAGGGUUCGAUUCCGGAGAGGGAGCCUGAGAAAUGGCUACCACAUCCAAGGAAGGCAGCAGGCGCGCAAAUUACCCAAUCCUGACUCAGGGAGGUAGUGACAAUAAAUAACGAUGCAGGACUCUUAAGGGUCUUGCAAUUGGAAUGAGUACAAUUUAAACCACUUAACAAGGAACCAUUGGAGGGCAAGUCUGGU